UACGUAGGGUGCAAGCGUUGUCCGGAAUUAUUGGGCGUAAAGAGCGUGUAGGCGGCCCGGUUAGUCCGCUGUGAAAGUCCAGGGCUCAACCCUGGAACUGCCGGUGGAUACUGUCGGGCUAGAGUGCGGAAGAGGCGAGUGGGAAUCCUGGUGUAGCGGUGAAAUGACGCAGAUAUCAGGAGGAACACCAAUUGCGAAGGCAGCUCGCUGGGACGUAACUGACGCUGAGACGCGAAAGCGUGGGGAGCAAACAGG
rnacentral:rRNA from 1 species